GAAAGAUAAGAAAAAAUGAAAAAGAAAAAAGCGAAAAAGGUUGAAUAUAGGGCUCCUUGUUUGCCAAGAUUUGUACAAACAAGGCCUUUCUGUGGUCCUUCUUCCUCUUUAUUUUCUUUGUUUUCUUUUUGGGCUCUGUUUCUCUUUCUC
rnacentral:ribozyme from 13 species